UUUCCGUAGGUGAACCUGCGGAAGGAUCAUUAUUGUAUAACCGAGGUGCGAGGGCUGUCGCUGACCCGAAAGGUCGUGCACGCCCGAGUGCCCUCACACACAUCCAUCUCACCCCUAUGUGCACCACCGCGUGGGUCCCCCUUUGGCUUGUUCGGAGGGGGGCUUACGUUUUCACACAAACUUUGUAUGCAGUGUAGAAUGUAUUUUUUGUUUUUGCGAUCACGCAAUCAAUACAACUUUUAACAACGGAUCUCUUGGUUCUC
rnacentral:misc_RNA from 1 species